CAGGCCUAACACAUGCAAGUCGAACGAUGCUUUCGGGCAUAGUGGCGCACGGGUGCGUAACGCGUGGGAAUCUGCCCUUGGGUUCGGAAUAACAGUUGGAAACGACUGCUAAUACCGGAUGAUGUCGAUAAGACCAAAGAUUUAUCGCCCGAGGAUGAGCCCGCGUUGGAUUAGCUAGUUGGUGGGGUAAAGGCCUACCAAGGCGACGAUCCAUAGCUGGUCUGAGAGGAUGAUCAGCCACACUGGGACUGAGACACGGCCCAGACUCCUACGGGAGGCAGCAGUGGGGAAUAUUGGACAAUGGGCGAAAGCCUGAUCCAGCAAUGCCGCGUGAGUGAUGAAGGCCUUAGGGUUGUAAAGCUCUUUUACCCGGGGAGAUAAUGACUGUACCGGGAGAAUAAGCCCCGGCUAACUCCGUGCCAGCAGCCGCGGUAAU
rnacentral:rRNA from 1 species